UAUUACCUACGGGGGGCAGCAGUGGGGAAUAUUGGGCAAAGGGCGCAAGCCUGACCCAGCAACGCCGCGUGAAGGAAGAAGGCUUUCGGGUUGUACACUUCUUUUGUCAGGGACUAAGCAAGUGACGGUACCUGACGAAUAAGCCACGGCUAACUACGUGCCAGCAGCCGCGGUAAUACGUAGGUGGCAAGCGUUAUCCGGAUUUAUUGGGUGUAAAGGGCGUGUAGGCGGGAAUGCAAGGCAGAUGUGAAAAAUAAGGGCUCAACCCAUAGCCUGCAUUUGAAACUGUAUUUCUUGCG
rnacentral:rRNA from 1 species